rnacentral:rRNA from 1 species
GUUCGCGGCUACCAUGCAGUCGAGCGGAUGAGAGGAGCUUGCUCCUUGAUUUAGCGGCGGACGGGUGAGUAAUGCCUAGGAAUCUGCCUGGUAGUGGGGGAUAACGUUCCGAAAGGAACGCUAAUACCGCAUACGUCCUACGGGAGAAAGCAGGGGACCUUCGGGCCUUGCGCUAUCAGAUGAGCCUAGGUCGGAUUAGCUAGUUGGUGAGGUAAUGGCUCACCAAGGCGACGAUCCGUAACUGGUCUGAGAGGAUGAUCAGUCACACUGGAACUGAGACACGGUCCAGACUCCUACGGGAGGCAGCAGUGGGGAAUAUUGGACAAUGGGCGAAAGCCUGAUCCAGCCAUGCCGCGUGUGUGAAGAAGGUCUUCGGAUUGUAAAGCACUUUAAGUUGGGAGGAAGGGCAUUAACCUAAUACGUUAGUGUUUUGACGUUACCGACAGAAUAAGCACCGGCUAACUUCGUGCCAGCAGCCGCGGUAAUACGAAGGGUGCAAGCGUUAAUCGGAAUUACUGGGCGUAAAGCGCGCGUAGGUGGUUCGUUAAGUUGGAUGUGAAAGCCCCGGGCUCAACCUGGGAACUGCAUCCAAAACUGGCGAGCUAGAGUACGGUAGAGGGUGGUGGAAUUUCCUGUGUAGCGGUGAAAUGCGUAGAUAUAGGAAGGAACACCAGUGGCGAAGGCGACCACCUGGACUGAUACUGACACUGAGGUGCGAAAGCGUGGGGAGCAAACAGGAUUAGAUACCCUGGUAGUCCACGCCGUAAACGAUGUCAACUAGCCGUUGGGUUCCUUGAGAACUUAGUGGCGCAGCUAACGCAUUAAGUUGACCGCCUGGGGAGUACGGCCGCAAGGUUAAAACUCAAAUGAAUUGACGGGGGCCCGCACAAGCGGUGGAGCAUGUGGUUUAAUUC